rnacentral:rRNA from 1 species
UACGUAGGGUGCGAGCGUUGCCCGGAUUUAUUGGGCGUAAAGGGCGCGUAGGCGGCCACGCACGUCCGUUGUGAAAUCGCCCGGCUCAACUGGGCGGGGUCGGCGGAUACGGCGUGGCUGGAGCAAGCUAGGGGGCAAUGGAAUUCCCGGUGUAGUGGUGGAAUGCGUAGAUAUCGGGAGGAACACCAGUGGCGAAGGCGGUUGCCUGGAGCUUUGCUGACGCUGAGACACGAAAGCGUGGGUAGCAAACAGG